rnacentral:rRNA from 1 species
UGAAAUGCAUAGAUAUUACACAGAACACCAAUUUCGAAGGCAGCUUACCAAACUAUUAUUUGACGCUGAAGCACGAAAGCGUGGGUACCGUACAGGAUUAGAUACCCUGGUAGUCCACGCCGUAAAACUAUGCUCUACUCGCUGUUGGCAAUACAUGGUCAGCGGCUAAGGGAAACCGAUAAAGUGAGCCACCUGGGGAGUACGAUCGCAAGAUUGAAACUCAAAGGAAUUGACGGGGGCCCGCACAAGCGGAGGAACAUGUGGUUUAAUUCGAUGAUACGCGAGGAACCUUACCUGGGCUUAAAUGUAGAGUGCAUUACGUAGAAAUAUGUAUUUCCUUCGGGACUCUUUACAAGGUGCUGCAUGGUUGUCGUCAGCUCGUGCCGUGAGGUGUCGGGUUAAGUCCCAUAACGAGCGCAACCCCUAUUGCUAGUUACCAGCGCGUAAAGGCGGGGACUCUAGCGAAACUGCCGGUGUCCACCGCGAGGAAGGUGGGGAUGACGUCAAAUCAGCACGGCCAUUAUGUCCAGGGCUACACACGUGUUACAAUGGCCGGUACAGUGGGCAGCCACAUAGCGAUAUGGAGCUAAUCUCAAAAGCCGGUCUCAGUUCGGAUUGGAGUCUGCAACCCGACUCCAUGAAGGUGGAUUCGCUAGUAAUCGCGCAUCACCCAUGGCGCGCUGUAUACGUUCCCGGGCAUUGUACACACCGCCCGUCAAGCCAUGAAGUUUGGG